UACGAGGGGGGCAAGCGUUGUUCGGAAUUAUUGGGCGUAAAGGGCGCGUAGGCGGUGCGGUAAGUCUGUAGUGAAAUCUCUGGGCUCAACUCAGAGUCUGCUGCAGAAACUGCCGUGCUUGAGUGUGGGAGAGGUGAGUGGAAUUCCCGGUGUAGCGGUGGAAUGCGUAGAGAUCGGGAAGAAUACCCGUGGCGAAGGCGGCCAGCUGGGCCAGGUCCGACACUGAGGCGCGAAAGCGUGGGGAGCAAACAGG
rnacentral:rRNA from 1 species